rnacentral:rRNA from 1 species
GACGAACGCUGGCGGCGUGCUUAACACAUGCAAGUCGAACGGUAAGGCUCUGCUUUUGUGGGGUGCUCGAGUGGCGAACGGGGGAGUAACACGUGUGUAACCUGCCCUUUACUUUGGGAUACCUUCAGUAAACACGGGCUCUUACCCCACAUGAGCUCCUGCUGCAUGGUGGGUAUUGGUAAGUUUCGGCGUUUGGGGAUGGACUCGCGGCUUAUCAUCUUGUUGGUGAGGUAGUGGCUUACCAAGGCGUUGACGGGUAGCCGGCCUGGGAGGGUGACAGGCCACAAUGGGAAUGAGAAGCGGCCAAGAGUCAUACGGGAGGCAGCAGUGGAGAAUAUUGCAAAAAGGGCGGAAGCCUGAUGCAGCAACGUCGGGUGCGGGAUGACGGCCUUCGGGUUGGAAACCGCUUUAGCCUGUGAAGAAGAGUGAGUGACGGUAAUGGGUAAAGAAGCACCGGCUAACUACGUG